AUUGAACGCUGGCGGAAUGCUUUACACAUGCAAGUCGAGCGGCAGCGCGGGGCAACCUGGCGGCGAGCGGCGAACGGGUGAGUAAUGUAUCGGAACGUGUCCUGUCGUGGGGGAUAGCCCGGUGAAAACCGGAUUAAUACCGCAUACGAUCGAGAGAUGAAAGUGGGGGACCGCAAGGCCUCACGCGAUAGGAGCGGCCGAUAUCUGAUUAGCUAGUUGGUGGGGUAAAGGCCCACCAAGGCUUCGAUCAGUAGCUGGUCUGAGAGGAUGAUCAGCCACACUGGGACUGAGACACGGCCCAGACUCCUACGGGAGGCAGCAGUGGGGAAUUUUGGACAAUGGGGGCAACCCUGAUCCAGCCAUUCCGCGUAAGUGAAGAAGGCCUUCGGGUUGUAAAGCUCUUUUGUCCGGGAAGAAACGGUUUUGGCUAAUAACCAAGACUACUGACGGUACCGGAAGAAUAAGGACCGGCUAACUACGUGCCAGCCGCCGCGGUAAAAC
rnacentral:rRNA from 1 species